GCCCAGUGACAAAUGUUCAACGGCCGCGGUAUCCUAACCGUGCGAAGGUAGCGUAAUCACUUGUUCUUUAAAUGGGGACUAGUAUGAAUGGCACCACGAGGGUUGUACUGUCUCCUCUCUCCAAUCAGUGAAACUAAUCUCCCCGUGAAGAAGCGGGGAUAAUUAUAUAAGACGAGAAGACCCUAUGGAGCUUUAAACUUCUCUUCAAGCACUAACCUAUCAUUUUAGGUCACUGACCCCCCCACCACAAUUAUCACCGCGCCAUGGAGAUGAAUUUUAGGUUGGGGUGACCAUGGAGUACAAAAAAACCUCCACGCUGAACAGGCCUACUAAGCCUUGAGCAAAGGACCACAACCCAAAGCACUAAAAAACUAACACCCAUUGAUCCAAUUUUAUUUGAUCAACGAACCAAGUUACCCUAGGGAUAACAGCGCAAUCUACUUCAAGAGUUCUUAUCGACAAGUAGGUUUACGACCUCCAUGUUGGAUCAGGGUAUCCCAGUGGUGCAGCCGCUACUAAUGGUUCGUUUGUUCAACGAUUAAAACCCUACGUGA
rnacentral:rRNA from 1 species